rnacentral:rRNA from 1 species
GAUGAACGCUGGCGGCGUGCCUAAUACAUGCAAGUCGAGCGAACAGACGAGGAGCUUGCUCCUCUGACGUUAGCGGCGGACGGGUGAGUAACACGUGGAUAACCUACCUAUAAGACUGGGAUAACUUCGGGAAACCGGAGCUAAUACCGGAUAAUAUAUUGAACCGCAUGGUUCAAUAGUGAAAGACGGUUUUGCUGUCACUUAUAGAUGGAUCCGCGCCGCAUUAGCUAGUUGGUAAAGUAACGGCUUACCAAGGCAACGAUGCGUAGCCGACCUGAGAGGGUAAUCGGCCACACUGGACCGGGGCCACGGUCAAGACUCCUAGGGGAGGCAGAGGUGGGGAACCUUCCGCAAUGGGCGAAAGCCGAACGGAGCAACGCCGCGUGAGUGAUGAAGGUCUUCGAUUCGUAAACCUCUGUAAUAGGGAAGAACAAAUGUGUAAGUAACUAUGCACGUCUUGACGGUACCUAAUCAGAAAGCCACGGCUAACUACGUG